rnacentral:tRNA from 1 species
UGUUCUGUGGCUUAGUUAGUUAAAGUGCCGGUCUAGCGAAUACGGAGUCGUGAUGGGUUCGAAUCCCACCAGAACGC